GGCGGCUUUCAUGGGGAAGACAGAUCAUCAAGCCCAAGUGCCAAGCCCUCCCUGCCCGAGUACUGAGAGCCUGUCCUCCAUGUUUUAUAAGUAUUGACAUAACACUGUGUUAACAAUGCAUCCACAGAGCUUGGCUGAAGAGGAAAUAAAGGCAGAGCAGGAGGUGGUGGAGGGGAUGGACAUCUCCACUCGAUCCAAAGAUCCUGGCUCUGCUGAACGCACAGCACAAAAACGGAAAUUUCCCAGCCCUCCACAUUCCUCCAAUGGCCACUCACCUCAAGAUGCAUCAACAAGUCCUAUAAAAAAGAAAAAGAAGCCUGGUUUAUUGAACAGUAAUAAUAAAGAGCAGUCAGAGCUAAGACAUGGUCCGUUUUACUAUAUGAAGCAGCCACUCACCACAGACCCUGUUGAUGUUGUACCACAGGAUGGACGGAAUGAUUUCUAUUGCUGGGUUUGUCAUCGGGAAGGCCAAGUCCUCUGCUGUGAGCUCUGUCCUCGGGUUUAUCAUGCUAAGUGUCUGAAACUGACAGCCGAACCAGAGGGGGAUUGGUUUUGCCCAGAAUGUGAGAAAAUCACAGUUGCAGAAUGCAUAGAAACACAGAGUAAAGCAAUGACAAUGCUCACCAUCGAACAGCUAUCAUAUCUACUGAAGUUUGCACUACAGAAAAUGAAACAGCCAGGGACAGAGCCAUUUCAAAAGCCAGUUUCACUGGAUCAACACCCAGAUUAUGCAGAAUAUAUCUUUCAUCCAAUGGACCUUUGUACAUUAGAGAAGAAUGUUAAAAAGAAAAUGUACGGUUGCACUGAAGCAUUUUUGGCUGAUGCCAAAUGGAUUUUGCACAACUGCAUUAUUUACAAUGGGGGAAAUCACAAAUUGACACAAACAGCAAAAGUCAUCAUCAAAAUCUGUGAGCAUGAGAUGAAUGAAAUUGAAGUAUGUCCGGAAUGUUAUUUAGCUGCUUGCCAAAAACGCGAGAAUUGGUUUUGUGAGCCUUGUAGCAAUCCCCACCCUUUGGUCUGGGCUAAACUCAAAGGCUUUCCAUUCUGGCCUGCUAAAGCACUGAGGGAUAAAGAUGGGCAAGUCGAUGCCCGUUUCUUUGGCCAACAUGACAGGGCCUGGGUUCCAAUAAAUAAUUGCUACCUCAUGUCUAAAGAAAUUCCUUUUUCUGUGAAAAAGACUAAAAGCAUCUUCAAUAGUGCAAUGCAAGAAAUGGAGGUUUAUGUUGAUAACAUUCGUAGAAAAUUUGGAGUAUUUAAUUAUGCACCUUUCCGGACACCAUAUACUCCCAACAAUCAAUACCAAAUGUUGUUAGACCCUGCAAACCCAGCUGCUGGAACUGCAAAGACAGACAAACAAGAGAAAAUCAAACUGAAUUUUGAUAUGACAGCAUCACCCAAGAUUCUGAUGAGCAAGUCCAUGCUGGGCAGUAGCACAGGUCGCAGGAUUUCACUGACAGAUAUGCCACGGUCACCAAUGAGUACAAACUCAUCAGUUCACACUGGGUCUGAUGUUGAACAGGAUGCAGAGAAAAAAGCAACUUCCAGUCAUUUCAGUGCCAGUGAAGAAUCCAUGGACUUCAUUGAGAAAAAUACAGCUUCUCCAGCACCAACAAGAACGGGUCAAGCAGGGAGCUUGUCAGGCAGCCCCAAACCUUUCUCUCCUCAAGCAUCAACGCCAAUUUCGGCUAAGCAAGAAAGAACUUCCACUCCAGGAAGCAUUCUGAAUCUUAACCUUGAUCGUAGCAAAGCCGAGAUGGAUCUGAAGGAGCUGAGCGAGUCGGUGCAGCAGCAGAGCACCCCAGUGCAGCUCAUCUCCCCCAAACGCCAGAUCCGCAGCAGGUUCCAGCUCAAUCUCGACAAGACCAUCGAGAGCUGUAAAGCACAACUGGGAAUAAAUGAAAUAUCUGAAGCUGUUUAUACUGCAGUAGAACACAGUGACUCUGAAGAUUCUGAGAAAUCUGAUACCAGUGACAGUGAAUAUAGUGAUGAGGAUCAGAAAUCAAAGAAUGAUCAAGAGGAUGGUGAGGACAAGGAAGGUGCAAGAAGUGACAAAGAAUCAUUGAGCUUGAAAAAAAAACCUAAGCCUCCAGCACAGAAUGAAGACAAGGAGGAUCUUAAAAGCACAAGUCCAGAAGUGGAGAAAACAGAAGAACCGGUCAAGGAAAAGGCUGUUUCAGACACCGAAAAAGAAUUUUCUGAAAAGGGAAAGAGUUUACAGCAUCCUGCAAAAGAAAAGCUGAAAGGUAAAGAUGAAACAGACUCUCCAACAGUGCAUCUAGGACUGGACUCUGAUUCUGAGAGUGAACUUGUCAUCGAUCUUGGAGAUGAUCAUUGUGCUCGUGAAGGAAGGAAAAACAAGAAAGAAUCUAAAGAACCUUCUCCUAAACAAGAUGUUGUAGGUAAAACUCCACCUUCCUCCAGUGCAAGCACCCAGCCUCUACCAGAAACUCCAGUGCUCACCCGCUCCGCAUCGCAGACCCCCCCAGCCGGCGUGACAGCGACCACCAGUGCUGCUUCCACUGUCAGUGCUCCCUCAGCUGCCACAGGAAGCCCUGUGAAAAAGCAGAGGCCUCUGCUGCCCAAGGAAACAGCCCCUGCUGUGCAGAGGGUGGUGUGGAAUUCUUCAAAUAAAUUCCAGACAUCGUCUCAGAAAUGGCACAUGCAGAAGGUACAGAGACAGCAGCAGCAGAGCCAGCAGUCUCAGUCACAGCAGCCUCAGUCCUCUCAGGGGACAAGAUACCAGACAAGACAAGCAGUUAAAGCUGUGCAGCAAAAAGAGAUCACCCAGAGCACUUCCACAUCCACUAUAACCUUGGUCACAAGCACUCAGCCCAUUUCCAUGGUUACCAGCUCUGGAUCUGCAAGCACACUUUCUUCCUCACUCAACACAGACUUGCCAAUUGCAACAGCUUCAGCUGAUGUGGCUGCAGAUAUUGCUAAAUAUACCAGCAAAAUGAUGGAUGCCAUCAAAGGAACAAUGACUGAAAUAUAUAAUGAUCUUUCAAAAAAUACUACUGGAAGUACAAUAGCUGAGAUUCGGCGUUUGAGGAUUGAGAUAGAAAAGCUUCAAUGGUUACAUCAACAGGAACUUUCAGAAAUGAAACACAAUCUAGAACUGACAAUGGCUGAAAUGCGUCAGAGCCUGGAGCAGGAACGAGAUCGUUUGAUUGCUGAGGUGAAGAAGCAGCUGGAACUGGAAAAGCAACAAGCAGUGGAUGAGACCAAGAAGAAGCAAUGGUGUGCCAACUGCAAGAAAGAGGCCAUCUUUUAUUGCUGUUGGAACACCAGCUACUGCGACUACCCCUGCCAACAAGCUCACUGGCCUGAGCAUAUGAAAUCUUGCACACAGUCAGCUACUGCGACACAGCAAGAAGCAGAUACUGAAAUUAGCACAGAAACACUAAAUAAAUCAUCCCAGCCCAGUUCAAGCGUGCAGUCUACACCCACAGAAACAGCCAGCACUCCUAAGGAAAAGGAAGGCUCAGCUGAUAAGAGCAAAGAGAGUGUUACAGACCCAUCAGUGUAGCUUCUGGUCUGGAUCUUUCGAUACAAGUUGCCUUCUGAUAAGCAAUACUGACUGCAGCACUUCCAAGCCCUUCUUGCCUGGGGGUUCAGAGGCCAAGCUCAAGACCUGCAUUCAAACCAAGUUACUUUCUCACCACAGACUGCCAUUAGGGUACCACAAUGUUCCAUAACACUGAUACAACACUUCACCUGGAUCUACGGUUAACGGAGCAGUUUUGAAAUCCUCCAUAGCAUCUACUCUGAUAGUUUUCAGUAGGCAAGGAUGAGCAAAUGCUCUAAAAAAAAGGGACUUAUCAUUGCAUAUAUAGAAAAUGUUUAUAGAGAAGAUUCUGCUUUAUAGAUAGCAACAGGUGUGACAAGCAACCAGCCUAUAAAACUGGUCCAGGUACCGCAGACCACCACCUAUAUUCCAACUACUCAACCCACAAUUGUAAGUACAGUGUCAUAAUUUAAAGUCUGCAGCAAUGCUGUUCCUGGCAUUAAAAUUGCUCAGUAUCUCUGGGGGGUUGUCACCGUCUGCUGUUGUAUCAAGAGAUGAAUUCACUGGUAUAGUUUCAGCUUGCAGUGCAAAAUGCUUUAUUUUGCUGUGCAACAUUCCACCCCUUUAUUCCAAGGAUUCAAAAAUCUUAGUCUGGCAAAGGCACUGAGGACAGGCAGAGGCAUUUCACAUUUUUGGUCCAUUUCAUGUAUAUACUUGACCACAUCAUCAAUGUAAAUAUAUAGAAUUCAUUUAAAAUAUCUUUUGAGUAUCAUUUUGUCUAUGGUAUCCUAAAGAGAUUUAGAGAUUUAAUUAUUUCUGAGCUAUGCUUGAUAUUCCUGUGACAUCUCAGUACCUGUGAAAAAGAAUAUGCAUUUGUCAGCAGUGUCUCUCCCAUGCAGUCUUGCACAUUAGCAUUAUGAAAUGAGAAAUCACAUUGGAAUCUGACCUGGGUUUUUACUAUCAAAGGCUUAACCAAGGACAUCUGAAUUCCCUAGUGUCAGUCACAGUAGAUGGGACAAAAGUGAGUUGGAUUUUUGUAUUUUAUACACCAUCUCUUAGCCCAUUAUUUCAGCUGGCUGUGCUCUGCAGUGCUCAUGCCAGAGCCAGCUUCUGAGCUGCUGCUGCUCUGGUCACAGCACAUGCUCUGCCUCUGUGCUGAGUUCAGCAGGGAAAAUACAAUUACAAAUACAAAUCAAAUACACUGUUAGAAACUGUGUACCUUCCCCACACUGUGACUGUGAGGCCUGAUGUGCUGUAGAAGUUCCUCUGUUUGUGUUUCCCUGUGCACACUCCAGCUGCAGGACACCCUGUGUGUGUUGGACACACGCUCAGGCACGGUGCUUCACAGCCCUCAGAUUCCACACAAACACAGCUCUUGGUGAGGAUGGAGGCUUCCCACGUUCCUCACAGCAUUUCAGUUCCACUUGGUCUCAGCUGAGACCACUGUGCACCUCUGCAGCAUUAGCCCCGAGUUGCUUGGACUGAACUACCAUUAAAAAUAAGGUUUUGUAUGUGUUUUAAAAUCCAAUAGCAGACUUCUAAGACAUCAGGCUUCUUUUGUGAAUAGCUGCGAGGCUGUAAGAUCCUACGGUGGUUUUGUGUAAUAUUCAGAAAAAUAGCAGUUAUCCUCAUCGGUUUUCUGUAACACAAAGUGUAUUGAGUUAUGUAAAGCAGAAUUGGAAGGUGUGAAAGGUUUCCAACUUUAUUUGUGCAUGUUUAUAACUUUGUACACAUUUGCAUUAGUCUUGCACAGCUACAGACACCUCUGUAUUCUAAUGACUGCACGUGCAAUUUAAAUAAUUUUAAACCUUAGUGCAUGUUUAAUAUGUAUGCAAAAUGUACAUAUGUGUAAAACUGGCAGAGGUGGAAAAUUUACCUCUCAGGGAAUGAUCUGAACACAUUUAAGGAGUCUCGCACAUUCCAUAUUCCGACCGUGCUAAGAACUGAAACUUAAUUAUUUCCAUGUGUGUAAAUGUGCAUAUUUAAAAAGCAACUGUGGCAACCCUAAUUUCCCCACCUCUAGUACUGACAGUGACUUACAUAAUGGCUUCUUUAGAAUUCAGUUUGCACUUUGUGUCCAACUAGGAAUUUCUUCCGCUGAACAACUUCCAUUGUAUCUGCUGGGUACCAUUUCCACUGAACCUUGUAAACACAUCUGAAAUCAUUACAAAAUGGCAGUAAUCUUGAAUUUAUUUAGCAAAUUGGUCCCAUGUUUGUUUUUUAUUCUUCCUGCAGUUAAAAUAAUGUAAAAAUAUGAACCCAUCUUCUUUGCAUUCCAGGGAAUGGAAUGAGUAGGCUUCUGGAAGGCACAGACUCAGUCACAAAGGAGCUGUAAUCCAUCUCAGCAGGGACACUCAGAGUCUUUGUGGAAUAUCAUUAAGACACUCAUGUGGUUUCUUGAAUCGGUGUGGGGAAACAUUGGGCUUCACUGAACUUGUAUUUAUUCUUCCAUGUCCUCUCUGGAAUGUCACACUACCACUGAGGGAAGAUCUGUGCAUCCCUUUCAGGUUCCUCAAAAUCUCCCUCCCUGUUUCUUCCACAAGAUGUUGUGAACUGAAAUGGAUGCGUUUGUCUGAUCACCAGUUGUGCAUCACUGGAAUUGUAUCGAAACACACUUUGCAGUUUGUAUGGUAGAGACAUUUUUAGACUUUCUCACGUUUUUGGAGGAAGGUUAAGAUACAGACUUUAGGUUCAAUAAAUCCUCUUACAGCUCUCCAGAGUGAUGUGACCUUGACCAGAUUGUUUAACAUUCUUGUGCCUUUGUCUCUGCAUCUGUAGAAUCAAUUACCACCUAUAGAGAUGUCCUGAAACUCCAUUUGUUGAGAUGUAUAAAUCAUGAUCAGUAUGAUGGAAGUGUAAAGUUUAUUCUAUAUUAAUAUUUUUACAGGGUGUGUAAGACAGUUCCCAGUAAUGCUGAUGUUUUUGCUAUUGAUUUGUGCAGAAGUUAACUUAAGUACUUUUUUUUGUUUAAAUGGAUGUUCUUUGUUCUCUUCUGUGUAGACUGAAUGCAUGGGGAAAAGUUCCUUUUGGGGAAAAAGAUUUAAGUAACGUGUAACAAGAAUAUACUUAUAAACAAGGGUAUUUUUGUACUCCAGUUUGAUUUGUCAGAACUUUUUCAAGUGACAAAGGAUUUUCUUAGCCCUUUUUCCUCUUCCCAUGUAUUAGUUUGCAGAAAAUACAUAACUGGAUGUAACUCUGAAACCCUCACCCUCCAAGCACAGGCAGUGUGUGCAGCCCCUAUAGCACCUCCUGUCCCUGUAAUUCUAGAGCAGUGAUGAGAACACUGAGACUCUUGGCUAUAGGGAAGUAAUGCACUACUCCUCCCCUGGAAUGAGGUAAUACUGUGGUAAUAAAGGUAUUAGUUCUUGCACAAAAUUGGAACUUGUUCUGGAUUUCCCCUGGAAAACAUAUCUCUAUAUCUGUGGUCAUGUUUGUGACCUUUAACAUAACAAUCUGUUUCUCUUGGUUUUAAUCCACAGACCAUUCCUGUAGUGGUAAGUCCUUCUGCUGGGACAGUGGCAAUGAGAACUGGAGUUCAGUAUGUUCAGACCACAAUGCCAGUCCAAGUACGAAGAGUCUAACUGCUAACAAGAAGUUCAAACAAUUGUUGGAAUAAAUAAAUCUAAUAGAAAUGUGACAAAUAAACACAGUUCUUUGGAUUAACCUCAGAGGUUCAGACUUUAGCUUUGUGUACGUGUACAAAGCAUUAAUUACACUACAUUAAUGUAAAGCAUUAGUGCUGGCUUAGAUAAUUGAGGACAGGUAAGAUCCAUAUUAAAUCUAUGCUUCUUUUGUAAAUAAUGUACAAUUUGUGGAUGUCAUUAGAGUACCAUCUCCUUUUUAUAUUUGUAUUGACUUUAACUUAUAAAGAGCGUUUGAAGUUGGAAAAGGAAGGUUUAAAACAGCCUUACCACAACCUAAUGCUGAAAACUGGUCUUGGGAAACUGUGUCAAAUAAUGUAAUACAGAAAAUCCGAAGAACUUUUUGCCAUUGGAGUGAAAAAUAUUUCUGCACUUUGCAACUCUUGUUGAAUUUCUCUGAACAACCAAGUGAUGAAGGAUAUCUCUUCUCAGUUAACUCUAUUAGGCAAAUUAUGUGGACCAGAAAUCCAUAAAAAUUUAUACUGUUUUUCACAAUGACCAGGCUGACAACAAAUAUUAAUGUUGUUUACAGGUUAAAAUUAUUUUAAAAUUUCAUUCAGUCUAAGAUCAGAAAAUUUGCUAAGUGUGCUAGGAGCUGGUUGUAGCAGGAUUUCUGAUUACUGAUAUCAAAGAUCGAGGAAAGUAAAGUUUGUUGCUAUGCUUCACAGUUUUCUUAUUUUUAAAAAAAUCCUCCCAAAAGGACUUGGAACAAGAACUAGGUGUGGAGAAAAACAUGAAUUGGGAAACAUGGGCAAAGGACUUUUGAUGCUGGGCCAGAGCAUGUAUUAUUUAUAUGAUGGAAUUUAUGUUUUUCUGUAAGCAUGAAGCAGUGCAGUAUGAGAGGAAGUACCCCUGGAGAUGCUGUCUGUUACACUGAGGCUGUAGUCCCAUUUUGUAUGUUGUGUAAAACGAAAGCAUUGAACAAAACAAAGGUGAUGUAUGUAUAUGAGAAAAUUAAUUGUAUGAUAUCAUUCCAGUACAUUCUGUUGUACAUUUUAGUCAUGUUGAUUUCUCCCAUUGUUUAUAUAAGAAUGCGGUUUGUACAGUCUCCAGCUAGUACCCAGAUUAGAAGGAAAAAAGUAUUAGAAGAAAAAAUAAGUGAGAACAAAAUAUUCAUUAAUUGCAGUUGUGUCAAAACUAGCCUAGCUGGCCUUAUUUGUGAAGCAUAAUUGCUUUUAGCAUAUGGAAGUAUUUUUUCACAUUUUCUUUGUAUAAAAUUUGUAUUAAACUUAAAUAUCUUU